rnacentral:rRNA from 1 species
GCCUGUAAGACUGGGAUAACUUCGGGAAACCGAAGCUAAUACCGGAUAGGAUCUUCUCCUUCAUGGGAGAUGAUUGAAAGAUGGUUUCGGCUAUCACUUACAGAUGGGCCCGCGGUGCAUUAGCUAGUUGGUGAGGUAACGGCUCACCAAGGCAACGAUGCAUAGCCGACCUGAGAGGGUGAUCGGCCACACUGGGACUGAGACACGGCCCAGACUCCUACGGGAGGCAGCAGUAGGGAAUCUUCCGCAAUGGACGAAAGUCUGACGGAGCAACGCCGCGUGAGUGAUGAAGGCUUUCGGGUCGUAAAACUCUGUUGUUAGGGAAGAACAAGUACGAGAGUAACUGCUUGUACCUUGACGGUACCUAACCAGAAAGCCACGGCUAACUACGUGCCAGCAGCCGCGGUAAUACGUAGGUGGCAAGCGUUAUCCGGAAUUAUUGGGCGUAAAGCGCGCGCAGGCGGUUUCUUAAGUCUGAUGUGAAAGCCCACGGCUCAACCGUGGAGGGUCAU